CAUAACUUCUACUCUACUGGACAGUGUCCCCCAUUUCAUACCCACAGUUGCCCUGUGAACCGUAAGUUCUGUGAGAGCAAAGAAUGCCUACAGCCUGGACAGGGGGUGGAUGGGGGGCGGUCAUCGUGCAGCCAGUCCCCCACUCCCUCUCCUCCACAGCCCUCUGGGUCUCUGCCUCUGUUUUCCUUCAGGCCAUUUCCUAACAGGGCUUUCCACAGCUAAUCCUCUGGCCUGGUGCCUGUUACUGGUGUUUCUAAAUGAGUGUAGAUGAUCAAAUUCCUUGCACUUCCUUGACCUCCUUCUCACGGAUAUUCCCACCCAAGUCCUCUUUCAGACAAGCUGGAAGUGCAGUCCCUUAGCACCAGGCUGUCCGAGGAGGUCAGAGCCUCAAGCCAGGCCCUGGCUUGGAGGAAAAGGCGAGAGCUCCUGGAGCCGCGCACUUUCCAGGAUAAAGACGUCUCAGCAAAGGCAGGAGGAGAGGAAGAUGAGGAGAGACAGGGAGUUUUCUCUGCUUCUUCCCCUGCUUUUGUACUUCUCGGCUUGGCCAGGGCCAGGCAGGGGACCCAGGGGGAGCACAUCGAUGUUUGGAAAGAGCUUAAGGCAACUCCCCCUGAGUGCUGGAGGUUAUUUGUGGAGAAGGCAAAGGAGAAAAGGAAAAGACUUCCAGCCCAGACCUCACUGUUUGCCGGGGGCCUGAAUCCCUCUCCGACGCAGAAGCUCUGGUCCCUGCUUCCAGGUUUGCUCAACCCAGAGUCCUGGCAAUGGGAGAGCUCUGGGAGAAGGCAGAUCUGGAGCUGUGAUGAGAAGCUGGCAGGCAGACACUAGGGGACUGGCCCCAAUCCCCCUCACCCACAAGACUCUCCUGCCAAUGACAGCUAACCCGGGGGAGCCCCAGAAUGCCACUGGGCAAGCCUGGGUGGGGCCCACCGGCCGCUGCAUCUGACUGCGGGUCAGGUCAGGUGCUUCCACAGUGAAGCACCACGGUCGUGUCCUUGUGCGGGGACCACAGGCAAGUCACUUGGUCCUUCUGGCCAGCUUCUGUCUUUGCGUCCUAUUGGCCUUGCCUGCCGGCUCCGGCUGUCAUCAAAGGAGGGCUGUUUUUGAGAUCAAGUAUCUGAAUGUUCUUACAAUGUGAGGUUGAAGUGCAAUUACUCACAGGGCCUGUCUCAGAAGCCAGACCAUACUGCUGAACUGGAUUAGUCAUUUUGCUGCCUCUAAGCAUACAGCCACCUAUAAACUGGAACUUCCUAAUGGCAGCCUGUCACUUCCACCGAGACCCACCAGUUGAAUGCCUUCAGACCUGUUCUCCACAUCCUCAUCAAAGCUGAGGCAGGACCGCUGGUAUUUUCCGAGCGUAUUUAAGGUGCACUGUAGAAACACCAAGGGAUGAUGCAGUGAUGACACCAGCACCCCCCACCCCACUUCUUCAUCUUGGGAGGUAACUCUGUGGGCCAGGCUGAGUUAUUCGGGAUUCUGAUUUUGACUCCAUGCCACCAGCCCUCUCCCCUCUGGGCUCCUUCGGGAUGGCAGUCCUGGAGCUCUUCUUUCCUGCCUUUGACAUGAUAAACAUAACGCCCUUUUCGGCUAAGGGACUGUCUGGCUGUCGCAGGGCACACAUGUGCUCCACCUCCACCUUCAAGGGCAGCCACUGUGUAUCCCUGGACUGGGAGGAGCUGGAAGAGGACCGGAAGGGAAACAGGAAGCAGGGAAUGCUUUGUCCAAGCCCCUCUCCUUAAGGAUGAACCACCUUUUCUGUGAGAAGCUGGAAUUCUCUGCCUUUAUUUUCCCAGCAGCCAGGUUCCCACUCAGGGGUGAAGCAACCCUG
rnacentral:lncRNA from 1 species